ACACGUUGGUCAGCAGCGGCGCGCCGGUGCUCGCCAGCAGCCGCGCCACGUCCGUCAUGUAGGCCUGCGCGAACACGCCGUUGGAGGGCGGGAAGGUGUUGGUCACCGCGUCGAACCGGAUCGAGGUGGACACCUUGAUGGCGCCGAGGCCGGCGCCGUUGAGGGCCGCGCCGAGGUUCCGCAUGGCCGGGACGAUGUUCUGCGUGUCGCCGCCCAGGACCUCGUUCCCGGCGGCGAUGUACUUGAUGUUCACCGCCGGGUAGUAGGGCCGCACGUUGUCCCGGACCCAGUUCGCCGCGUUGGAGGCGUUGGCGGCG
rnacentral:lncRNA from 1 species